UACGGAGGAUCCAAGCGUUAUCCGGAUUUAUUGGGUUUAAAGGGUGCGUAGGCGGCCUAUUAAGUCAGGGGUGAAAGACGGUAGCUUAACUAUCGCAGUGCCUUUGAUACUGAUGGGCUUGAAUACACUUGAGGUAGGCGGAAUGUGACAAGUAGCGGUGAAAUGCAUAGAUAUGUCACAGAACACCAAUUGCGAAGGCAGCUUACUAAAGUGUGAUUGACGCUGAGGCACGAAAGCGUGGGGAGUCAAACAGGA
rnacentral:rRNA from 1 species